GGGCGAUUAGCUCAGUUGGUAGAGCAGCGCAUUUACACUGCGAAGGUCGGGGGUUCAAAUCCCUCAUCGCCCACCA
rnacentral:tRNA from 1 species